UAACGCGUGAGGAACCUGCCUCAAAGAGGGGGACAACAGUUGGAAACGACUGCUAAUACCGCAUAAGCCCACGGUGCCGCACGGCACAGAGGGAAAAGGAGCAAUCCGCUUUGAGAUGGCCUCGCGUCCGAUUAGCUAGUUGGUGAGGUAACGGCCCACCAAGGCGACGAUCGGUAGCCGGACUGAGAGGUUGAACGGCCACAUUGGGACUGAGACACGGCCCAGACUCCUACGGGAGGCAGCAGUGGGGAAUAUUGCACAAUGGGGGAAACCCUGAUGCAGCGACGCCGCGUGGAGGAAGAAGGUCUUCGGAUUGUAAACUCCUGUUGUUGGGGAAGAUAAUGACGGUACCCAACAAGGAAGUGACGGCUAACUACGUGCCAGCAGCCGCGGUAAAACGUAGGUCACAAGCGUUGUCCGGAAUUACUGGGUGUAAAGGGAGCGCAGGCGGGAAGACAAGUUGGAAGUGAAAUCUAUGGGCUCAACCCAUAAACUGCUUUCAAAACUGUUUUUCUUGAGUAGUGCAGAGGUAGGCGGAAUUCCCGGUGUAGCGGUGGAAUGCGUAGAUAUCGGGAGGAACACCAGUGGCGAAGGCGGCCUACUGGGCACCAACUGACGCUGAGGCUCGAAAGUGUGGGUAGCAAACAGGAUUAGAUACCCUGGUAGUCCACACUGUAAACGAUGAUUACUAGGUGU
rnacentral:rRNA from 1 species